CACUUGUUGCCUCGGCGGAUCAGCCCGCUCCCGGUAAAACGGGACGGCCCGCCAGAGGACCCCUAAACUCUGUUUCUAUAUGUAACUUCUGAGUAAAACCAUAAAUAAAUCAAAACUUUCAACAACGGAUCUCUUGGUUCUGGCAUCGAUGAAGAACGCAGCAAAAUGCGAUAAGUAAUGUGAAUUGCAGAAUUCAGUGAAUCAUCGAAUCUUUGAACGCACAUUGCGCCCGCCAGUAUUCUGGCGGGCAUGCCUGUUCGAGCGUCAUUUCAACCCUCAAGCACAGCUUGGUGUUGGGACUCGCGUUAAUUCGCGUUCCCCAAAUUGAUUGGCGGUCACGUCGAGCUUCCAUAGCGUAGUAGUAAAACCCUCGUUACUGGUAAUCGUCGCGGCCACGCCGUUAAACCCCAACUUCUGAAUGUUGACCUCGGAUCAGGUAGGAAUACCCGCUGAACUUAAGCAUAUC
rnacentral:misc_RNA from 1 species